rnacentral:rRNA from 1 species
AGCGAACUCUGGCGGCAGGUUUAACACAUGCAAGUCGAGCGCACCCCAAGGGGAGCGGCAGACGGGUGAGCAACACGUGGGAACGUGCCUCUUGGUUCGGAACAACCCAGGGAAACUUGGGCUAAUACCGGAUAAGCCCUUUCGGGGAAAGCUUUAUCGCCAAAGGAUAGGCCCGCGUCUGAUUAGCUACUUGGUGGGGUAAUGGCCCACCAAGGCUACGAUCAGUAGCUGGUCUGAGAGGAUGGUCAGCCACCUUGGGACUGAGACACGGCCCAAACUCCUACGGGAGGCAGCAGUGGGGAAUAUUGGACAAUGGGGGCAACCCUGAUCCAGCCAUGCCGCCUGGGUGAUGAAGGCCUUAGGGUUGUAGAGCUCUUUUAGCAGGGAAGAUAAAGACGGUACCUGCAGAAAAAGCCCCGGCUAACGUCGUGCCAGCCGCCGCGGUAAUAC